rnacentral:lncRNA from 1 species
GUUUCCCGCAAGCAGACACAGGCCACUUUCCCUGUGUCUACUCACAAGCUCACCCAAGAAAGAGCCUAUGCCUUCGGGGCUCAUCUCCUCCCUGUCAUCUCUCUCCUCACAACUAAAAGGAAGGCCUAGAACAGCUCCACUCAGGGAAUGAGUGCAGGAGAAUCACCAGGACAUGGUGGGCCAAUGCAGAUUUGGAUUCAGUAGCUCCUGGGUGGUAGGACCUCACAGUCUGCAUCUCUACUAAACUCCAGCUCCUGGUGACCUUGAAUCUACUUUCUGCUGCUGAGAAUUUACCUAUUUUGGAUGCUUCAUGAGACGAUUCCUCUUAGCAAAAGGGCACUGUGUACCCUCCAAGGCUGGAAAUGAUAGGUUUUCGGCGAGGAGUGAAAAUAUUGUGCUGACAGCCCUUUGCCUGUGUAGAGCAGGGUUGUUUACUCGCGCUGGAGCACAGCUUUAUUGAAGCAGAGAGUCAUGGUCCCAUCAUCAGGGUUGCCUAGCAACCAGUCUACGCCACUCCACAGAGUUUCAGAAUGGGCUGGACCACAAGUACCCACUUUGGGGGAUUUCCAGUGACAGUCCUACUCUCACUCCAUCACAUCGCUUCUAAAAUCUGAGUCACAUGGUUCAAAUUUCACAGUACAAAGUGUGUUCUUCAGAUCUGGGGUUCUCUCCAAAAUGGAUAAUCAUUAUUGAUUUUGUAAUGCAAUGCCAAGACCAUCAGUAAGCCUGGACCCACGCCUUCAUCAAUCUACUGUCAGGGAUAGAUUGUGCAUUUUCUGUGUCCCAGUGGGUGCCCCCCCCCCAAAAUAGAGCAGACAAAGCCUGGCCUGCGAGGGUACUGGUUUAGUUCAACAAAUAUCCAUAGAAUGCCCACUUAGGCAAAAUGGCAUAGGGCAGAUUGCCAAAAUCAGGGUUGACUCGGCCUGGAGCCAUGAAGUGGGUCCAACAGGUCUCUGAACUGAGGCAGGAGGCCCCAGGAUCCCGAGGUGUGCUGUAAAGCCUUUGAUGACAGCAUCUUGUGCCUAACACCUGACCACAUCUGAGCCACUAGAGACAGUACCUGAUAAGGAUGCAGAUGCCUGGGCCCUACCUUCCAAAGUUCUGGCUCAGUAGGUCUGGGGGAAGACCAGUAAUCUUCAUUUUAACAAAGACCACUGACGGUUCUGAUGCAGGUGGUCCAAGGACCACACCUGGAGAAACUUCCACCUCUAGGAGCAUCUGGGUGGGGAAGACCAAAGCUGAAGUCCAUCCCCCAGAGGAUGAGAGAAAGGAAGGCUGCAGCUCAGGCAGCUCAGGGAGUCUGAGGCAGCAAACGAGCUCUGGACCUUGAAGUGGGGAGAGGAAGUCCUUUCACCUCAUCACAGUGCUCACAUCACCUCAGAAACCAGGUGGGACACACAGCUGUGACAGGAUACUGGAUCAUACCCCAAGAGAAAGGGGAGCUCCAAUGGAAAAGCCACCUGCAUCAUGAUGCUGCCUGUCACUUGACUGAGCGUUCCUGCUGCCCAGAAGCUCCUGUUGUCCUCCCAACUGACGGGAUGCUCUUGGACAGUGAUGCCAGCUGGAAUUAAGACUGGGUUUCCAAGGCCACUGUGACCACCAUGAUUAAUCAAUCCCUACUGCUAGGGCUCCAACAUGCCUCAGCCAGAAAGCUGUCAUCUCUUUCCUGGGAACAUUCCUUAAGAAAGAACCAUCAUGGGGUUGGAUGAAACUAAACUUGCAAAGAAGGUGAUGUGUAACCAAGUUGGAGUGUGGAGUGUGGGGUCAAAGAUGAUGGCAUUCUGUGUGGAUCCGCAGUGGUAGGAAUGGAGGUGAGGAGGAAGAAAUGAAUCCAGGAGGCAGCGUGACAGAAAACACAGACUUUGGUGACGACAUGUGAGAAGCUGUAAACUGAUAAGAAGAAAAGACGUCUCCAGCACGUUUGGGUUAGUGUCAUCAACCCAUGGAUCCUGCCCACAGCAAGACUUGGCCCAGUCACAACCCCCUUUCUAGCAAUGUGGAGAUAAAUGUCUUCAACAGAAAGGGUUGGGAAUCCCAUGUGACAGCCGAGCUCUGUUCUGCCUUUGACAGAGUCUGAUGCGAAGUGGAUCAUCUCAGGGAUGUGCCUUGCUGGCUUCACCCACCUGGAGCCUCAGGGGAAGUCUCAGGUGGGAGAUGUUAAUUUGAGAGGCCUGGGUAUAAAAGUAAUCCCAAGAUGUCACAAGAUAGAAUACUUUCUCUGAGGCACAAACAGGGAGAAAAACAAGAACAGAACCCCUUAGCAGGACACUCAUAAUAAGAAGAAUUAGGAAAAGAAAAGGGAACCCGGGGUGACACAAAACUGGGGGAGUCUGUUACCACAAGGUAGAUGGCUACCUCCAGUUGGACAAAUUUCCAUGGACCACCAUGCAAUUUCUGGAGAUGCCGCCUUUGAUCCCCUCUUCUCCCUUUGCUCCUCCCUCAUCUCCACACUCAAAGUGCACAUUAUUCAGAUGUCCAGCACGCCCCUAAAUCAACUUGACUUCUCUUGUUCCUUGGCAGAUUCAAGGACCAGCCUUCAUUGGAUUUGGGGUGGAAGCUACAUGCUUGUGUCAAGGGUUGUAAUCCCAAGUCUGGUCCUGUUUUCUGCAAACAAUAUCAUUGUAAACACAUUGAAUGUGUCUGAAUGGGAUUCACAUAACCUAUUCAAAGGUUAAUAUCACAAGACUGAUACUGAGCUGGAAGCUCUGAAAUGUACUUGUGCUCAGGGAAGAUAUUUGCUAAUGUUUGGCUUUAAUUUCCCCUGGAACUUGUACACAUCAGUGAGGCCUGGGGAUAAUGAAUAACAGCAUGGACAAUAAAUUUUAAAACAAACAAAAUAAAAACUCAAAGAACAUUAAUGCAGACCAGUGCUGGGAUAUGAUGUGUGUUACAAGAGAGUAAUGAUUACUCUUGGUGAGCAGAUUCUAUUAUCUGCUUCUUAGGAGCAAUAGGUGGCUGCCUCUUGAUUGUAUUAGUCCUGGAGUUAUAAAAUCCUCAGUCCUUUACAAUGCAAAAGUGACACAUGGGGCGAGUAAGCAGGUAAGAGAAGGAGCAAUUGGAGGAAGAGAAAUGAGAUCUGUGGCAGGGGCUAUUGGCUUUCCACUAAAACCCAUUCUCUACUUCUUGCUGGGCAAGAACUAGGCAGUAUUUACCAGCCCCUCUUGCAUUUGGGGUGGCCACAAACGAAUUCUGGCCAGUGGAGUGAGGGGCUUCUCAGACAGCAGCCUGCCCCUUCCACACUCCUGUUCCCCUUGCAGUGGCUCAAAGCCCUUGGGUGAUGAUGGAGCCAUAGCUGGAAGAAGCCUGGGUCCCUGGGUCCCCCGUGGAGCCUCCACGCGGGAAGGUGGUCUAGAAAUACACUUCCAUAUUUCAGCCAGCAUGCCUUGGGAUCUUUUUUUAAUGGUGGUUCAGCCUACCCUAACUAAAGCUGGGCCCACUCAGCACGCCCCACACAGGGAUUCUGAAAUGGGAGCAGGGUCCACCAAAACUCUGCUUUUCAGAGAGCUCACACCCUAGGGGAGUAUAAAAGUGACGAGGACACUGGAGCUGGCAGGCAAGACCCAGGAUGCCAAAAUUAGGGCCCCUAAACACAGCAGGGAGGGUGAGCUAUCCUCUUGUGAGGUGGGAGGAGGGUCUCCGUGAGCAGGGCUCUUCUUGGGCCAAACCUGGAUCAUGAGGAGGAGGGAGAGAUGCUGAAUAUGACAUGUCAUUCAAAGUGCUGUCUGGAAAUUUGAGUUCGUUUCUUCAGUAGAGGCAGCACAGGUUAAUCAGACAAACCAGCCAUCAACAGGCUUCCUUUGAGGAGCUUGGUAAGAAUGGAAAACCCAGGGCUGAGGGGCUUACAGAGCUUACAGAGCAGCACAGUAUCAGGGGCCCAAGGCACCAGGAGCUCCUCUGGAAAUUGGCGGGAACAGCUGGAGCAAAGCCGAGGUGAUGGUACCCCUGGUGGCGGGACGGCAGCGACCCUCCAUGGUAUAAGGAGUGGUGAGACCCCAAGGGACAGUGUGCAAGGACUCUGAUGGCAGCAACACUCCUCUAGGAGCUGAUGAGAAAGGCCUGGAAUCCCAAGAUGCACCCCUGAGGUUCAACUCCUACCCUGAUCAUCUCCUCCAAGAUUCUGUGACCUGGGGAAGUCAACAGUACAUUUCAACACCUAUGAUGUCAGCAUGUGAAUGACAUUCCAAUGCUGCUCAUGGGGUCACCCCUGCAAAGGUGAACUCAGUGGAAAGACCUUGCCAAACCGGAAGGAAAACAGGAUACUUUUCUCCAAAAUACUCAUUCAAUAAAUAUUUGCUUAGGCAUUACAAAGACAAAUAAGACUUGCCCCUACCUGUUAGAGGUAUGUAUGUCGAGAAAAGGAAGGAGUGAUUCAAUAAGAGAAACAGCAUUCAGGGAAGAGAAAGAAGGAAGACAUAAAAAUUCAGGUCAUAUUAGAAUAAUAUAUAUAACAAUGAGUUUGGCUAUAUUUCAGAAUUUUCCCAAAAUAUUUCUUUCAAAUUUGAUUGACAUUCUAAACUAUUUAGCUUGAUAUAAAUGAGAUCUUUGUGUACCCUCAGCAGGAACUGCAUUUUAGCUGGUUUUAAAUCUCAACAAUCACUUUCCUGCCUUGGAGAAGGUAUGAACCAGGCUGUUUAUGUAGAAUCCAGGUGGGUUUGAGAGCAGCUUCAGCUGAAUGGAGAGUGACAGGGAGGCUGAGGAAGGGAGGGAGGGGACCCAUGGGCUGUCAUACCCGGGGACUUAGGAAGGCUCUUGCUCUUGCUGGAAGGGUUGCAAAUCCCUAAACCAAGUAAUCCCAUCCCUAAACCAAGUAAUCCCAUUAAAACAUGAAACAUCCAGAGUAAAAUUAAGUUUAGAAUACUAUUUGCAAAGCCAAACAUAGUCUUACCAUAGGAUCCAGGCAUCACACUCCUUGGUAUUUACCCAAAUGGGUUGGAAACUUCCAUAUAAAAAUCUGCACACAGGCCGGGUACGGUGGCUCACGCCUGUAAUCUCAGCACUUUGGGAGGCUGAGGCGGAUGGAUCACCUGAGGUCGGGAGUUCAAGACCAGCCUGACCAACAUGGAGAAACCCUAUCUCUGCUAAAAAUACAAAAUUAGCCAGGCGUGGUGGCACAUGCCUGUAAUACCAGCUACUCAAGGGGCUGAUGCAGGAGAAUUGCUUGAACCCAGGAGGCAGAGGUUGCGGUGAGCCGAGAUUGUGCCAUUGCACUCCAGCCUGGGCAACAAGAGUGAAACUCUGUCUCAUAAAAUAAAUAAAUAAAUAAAUAUAAACCUACACACAGGCCAGGCAGGGUGGCUCACCCUGUAAUCUCAGCACUUUGGGAGGCCGAGGCGGGUGGGGUGGAUCACGAGGUCAGGAGAUCAAGACCAACUUGGCCAAGACGGUGAAACCUCAUCUCUACUAAUAAUACAAAAAUUAGCUGGGCAUGGUGGCACAUGCCUGUAAUCCCAGCUACUCAGGAGGCUGAGACAGGAGAACCGCUUGAACCAGGGAGUCGGAAGUUGUGGUGAGCCGAGAUCACACCACUGCACUCCAGCCUGGUGACAGAGUGAGACUCUGUCUAAAAAAAAAACCUGCACACAAAUAUUCAUGGUAGCUUUAUUCAUACUUGCCAAAACCUGGAAGCAACCAAGAUGUCCUUCAAUAGGUGAAUGGGUAAAUAAACUGUGGUACAUCCAGACAAUGCAAUAUUAUUUGGUGAUUAAAAAAAAAGAAAUGAGUUAAAAUCUUGGAUUUCUUUUUUUUAAAUGAGUUAUAAAGCCACAGAAAGACCUUAAAUACAUAUUGUUAAGUGAAAGAAGCCAGCCUGCAAAGCUACAUCUAUACAUGACUGUAUGACAUUCUAGAAAAGGCAAAACUAUAGAGACAGUGAAAACAUCAGGGAUUGCCAGGGGUUAAGAGGGAAGGAAGGAUGAAAAGGCAGAGGACAGAGGAUUUUAAGGCCGGUGAAACAAUUCUAUAUCAUACCAGAAUGGUGGAUAUAUGGGCUGGGGCUCAGAAAACAAUACCCCCAAAUGAAUGCCUCAGAAGCAAAAGUUUCUCCUGCCCUCCCAUCCCUGACCUCAUUCUCCCCCAAGGUUAGCCAUAGAAACCAGAAGUCCUCUUUCCCAAGGUGGGUCAUAGAAACUUCCAAACCCCUUUUCCCCAAAGCCAGUCAUAAAACCUAAAAAUAUGACUCUAACUUCCACCCCCACCCCACCACCUUUCUGUGUAAAAAUGUGUCAUAAGGAAAUCAUCUAACCUGCCUUGUUUGGUUGUCGGUCGUAAGACCCCCAUUCGAGAGAGGGCCCUGCCCCGUACCCAGCAGGAAGCAAUGCUGCCCAGAGAGGCCACGAGGAAUCUAGACAGGGCUUGCUGGGGGGCCCCACUCACUCUAUGAGCAUUAGCUCAUUCCCUUUUUUGUCCAAUCACAUUUCUAAAUAUUUUGUUGCACCUAAGCUUAAAAGUGGGCAGAGUCCCCUGCAUCUCUGGGUCUUCGUUCUGAAGGCUCCCCUGUCAUGUAACACUAUGACCAAAUAGAUGUGUGUGCCUUUUCUCCUAUUCAUCUGCCUUUUGUCUGUUAAUUUUCAGUGAAACUUCAGAGGGUGAAGGGGAAGUUUUCCUUGGCCCCUACACGUGUCAUUACAAACCCAUAGAAUGUACAAUGCCAAGAGUGGACCUUAGUGCAAGCCAGGGACAUUAGUCAGUAAUAAUGUUCCACGCUGACGCACAAAUGAAAGUUAUUUUAUUUGUGUGAACAGGAGAGCUGACAUGGUCUGUAUUGAUAUCUCCUGGGCAGGGAGGUGGUGAGCACGGCCCCAGAAUUCUGAACUGCCAGGAGCCAGGCAGCUUUGCAUCCUGGAGCUUGGCCAAUUCAGCCGCCCAAGUUCUGGCCAUGGGUCUGCAGCCCCCUGGCCCUUGCCUGCAUAAGCAGGAGAUGAAUGAGAGGAAGCAGAACUCACACAGGAGGCAGGAGGAAGCCACCAGGAAGCUCACUGGCUCCAGGGGCAGCAGAUCUGGGAUGGGGUCCCAGUUCUCUCCUUCCUCAUUCAUGAAAUGGGGCAAUAACAGUACUUACUUCAUUGGAGGUUCUUGGAGGGAAUAAAAGAGAUAUUAGUUAAAGGCAUGGAGCACAGUCCCUGGCACACUGAAAAAGUUUCAUAAAUGUUACCAAUUAAUUGUUUGUAUUAUAUAAUGUCUUCCUGAUAGGUUUUUGGGAAGGAAUAAAUCAAAGGUGAGAAAAUAUAUACAAAAACCUGACUGAGCGAGAACAUAGCUUACACACAAGAAGUGGCAGCUUGGUGAGCACACUGCUAUGUCAUGUUGUGCCUAGUCAUGACAUAGCCAAGGACUGAUACAGGCGCUCCCAUAACCCAUGGAUGGAUUCCUGCUGGACUCUAUUCAUGAAGGUUCUGAUUCUAAUUUUUUUAAAUCCAUGGAUAAAACAGCUACCAGAAAAUCCCAUUUGGGUUUGCAUGUUGUUCUUUGGCUUCGGUGGACAGCAAUCAUAUCAGUUGCAUUUCCCGAGCUAGAGCUCUGAGGCUUAGUCAUCCCCCUCCCUGGCUGGCUUCCAUGCUGUCUGCAGUGGGAGCAUCUUUUAUGAGAUGACAGGAGGGGACUUCAUGGAUGUGCAGCCUGGGCUGCUGGUACUGCCGGGGCUGCUGGUACUGCUGGGACUGCAGGAGAGGGAUGGUUUCUAUUAAUCCUCACAAUGGGAGGGUCCAGUGGGCUGUCACAGCACAGGCAGGGAAUCACAGGCCUCCCUGGGUGACCAGCUGUCCUGGCUGCUACCAGAUUCGGACUCCAGCAGGCUUUCCCUGGGGGCAGAGAUGACCUUGAUCUCUGGGCAGCUAGGCUUCAUGUCCUUGAUAUUUGUGGCCCUGCAUUGUUGGGGCACAGGAUGCAGAGCUGGGGAUGACUGAGCUUAAACUCCUGCUGCUAUGGAGGGCUGCCUCCUUGCCCUGAAUGCCCUGGGAGCCCUUUUAAAAACACAGGUCCAAGGAGUGAUAACAUGAGGGGCAGCACCUCUGGCCCCUGAGAGAGAAACUUGUCCAGUGAUAUGUGCACAAGCAACAUCUCCAGGCAUUCCUUCCAGACAAGGCAAGAGGCCCCCCAGGUGUGAUAUGUUAGCUACACAUGGGCUUGGUCUGUACUGCAAAUGUGUACUCAGUGAUGGGGCCAUUAGAUAUUUGGUUUCUACAUUGCUGCGAUGAAAAUUUACAAAGAACGUUCAUGGGGAAACCAGCUCCCAUCCAUGGGCAGCAGAGGAAUGUUGUCCAAGACUUACAUGGACAGGUAAGACUAAGGUCUCAUCCCAUACUCAGCAGUUCUGUGACCUUUUACAGAACAUAGGGAGGCAAGAAGGGAAAUGAGCCUUAGUUAGCCUCAGGGAGAACCAAGCCAGGUCUGUUUAGGGUCACCACCUUCACUGAACUGCCCUCCACUGGAGGCUAGGAACUGCAGGACAUGAGUUCAACAUCAAAAUAGUAAAAAUAGUGGCAAAUGUUUAGCAGUGUUUGCAACAUAUCAGGUGUCACAGCAACCUCUGCAGGAGAGGUGAGCAGGGCUAAUAUUUAGCAGGUGCACCCUUGUACUGGCUGCCUGCCAUUUAAUAGGUUAGUGCCUCAGCUGGUUAUUGAAUAUUUUCAACAUCGGCCCUGGGUACUAAGAUUAGUUCCCAUUUUACUGAUUAGGAAAUCGAGGUUAAGAGAGGGUAGGCGAUUUGCCUGAGAUCACACAGCCUCGUGUGUGGCAGAGCCUUAGAUUCCAAGCCAGGCUGUCCGAUGCCAGACCUUCACAGCUAUCCUAUGCUUCCACGGCACCCCGGACUUCCCCUUGGAGCACUUGCCAGUGAAACAAACAUGCCCUGGAGAAAUGCCUGGGUGAGUGUGCCUUCUUCCUUGCACAGAGACGGGCCUCUUGCACCCUCUACUUUCCUACUGUGGCUGGGGUGAGGUGGCGGGUAGAAGGGCGUGGGUUGUAGCUCACUGUCUUCUUCAGGAGUCCCACAGUGGGUAGGAGCACCAGCUGUUCAACAAGAGAAGACCAUUAGGCUUCAGGAGGGAGAGGAAGUUUUUUUGGGAAUGAGAGGACCAAGAGAAAUGAGGCACAGGGGAGAUCGGCCCCAAGGCUUGUCCUGAAAAAAGAACAUCAUCUUCUUCUAAGGUCCCGAGCGUGGGAUUUAUCUGACACAUUCUUCCACAUGCUUAUUGCAGGAGGAGCGUUGUGUUAAGUGCUUUGCAUGCAUUAAUUAUCUCAUUUAAACCAAAACCAACCCAGUGUGGCUGAGUGACUAUAUGAUGUCCAUUUUACAGAUGAGGAAAGGGAGGCUGAGAGAGCUUAAAGGACACACCACUUUUGAGUGGCAGAGCUAGGAUGCAAACCAGACCUGACUGCUGUUAAAGCUUGUGAUGUUUGUAGUCAUUCUUCUAUACUGUACCCUCAUAGGAAGUUCAAAAACAGAGAGGGUGGGAUUUGGUCUUUGGCUUUUGUUUAAAUGUAUGUUUUUAUAGAUAUAUUUCCUUAGCCCAUGCUAUGAACCAGGAGUUUCCAUUUGUUUAUUUAACUGAUUUAUUAAGCCUUUUUAGGGGCCAGCCCAGGUUCUGGGCACAAGCUGGAGAAGGAGAGCUGCUGCGGUCCCUAACUCAUGCCUCUUGCGGCAGUGGGUGGGUGUGAAGAGGGAGGAGGGGAGGAGGUGGUGAGAAGUCUGCUUCACAUUAUUCAGAGUUUCCUGUGAGCCAGGCACUGUGCCUGGGGCUAAGUGAUUAUAUCAUUUAGCCCUCCCAAUAGACUCUCAGGUAGACGCUCUCUUAUUUCCACUUUUUCCCAUUUACAGAUGGGGAAAUGAAGACUUAAGAAACUUAGGUAAUCUGCCCAAAGGCUUAUAGCCAAUACAUGGUAAAGCUGAGAUGUGAACUCAAGUAUCUGACUCCAAAGCCUGGGUUUUUUCUCUUUCUCUCUCUCUUUUUUUUUUUUUUUUGAGACAGGGUCUCACUCCUUCACCCAGUCUGGAGUGCAGUGACAUGGUCAUAACUCACUGUAACCUCAAACUCCUGGGCUCAAGUGAUCCUCCUUUCUCAGCCUCCUGAGUAGCUGGGACUACAGGCACACACUUUUAUGCCUGGAUAAUUUUUGUACUUUUUUUGUAGACAGGGUCUUACUGUGUUGCCCAGGCUGGUCUGGAACUCCUAGGCUAAAAUGAUCCUCCUGCCUCAGCCUCCCAAAUUGCUGGGAUUACAGGUGUGAGCCACUGUGCCCGGUCAAAGCCUGUGCUUUGAUUUGCCACCUAAUCCUCCUCCGUUUUAUAUGUAAUGUUAACCCCAAACCUGCAGGGUAGCCGUUAUCAGCCUCAUUUAACUGACAGGGAAGCCCAGUCUCAGAGGGGCCAGAUGCGUGCCCAAGGCCUUGCUGGGAAGAAUGGGAUUCUGGGCCCAGGCAUUCCAGCGCCAAGUCCAGGGCGUGAUUGUUACUCUGCAGUCCCUCUCUGUGACAAGAGCCUCACCGGGAACUCGGGGGUGGGGGCUCCCCCAAGCCUCCUGGCUGGACCCCAUUCCAAGCGUUAGUGUAACAGAUGUUGUGUGGCGGGAGUCUGUUGUGCUCCUGGUGUGUGGCUGGGAUUCAGAGGUGUCUUCAAGCGCUCUAGGAAGCCGGCGGGCGGGGCCAUGGCCGCAGAAGUGAGUGCAGGGAUGGAGAAUACAGGGAGUCCCUUGACCGGAGGAGACUUUGGAGGCAUUUGUGCUGUUCGCGUGAACUCCGCGUCCAUGGCCUACCCUGUGAUUGUCAUCAUUUCUAUGUGAGAAAAAAGCGGCUACUGAUUCACAGCGAAAGGAAACGGACUAGGUUCUGAAACUUCCUGUUUGUCUGGUAUCUGCAAAGAUAUGUGUGUUAUGCAAAUACCCUGACUCCCCAGAACUGCAGGUGUGUACAAACACACACACGCACGCACACACACACACACACACACACACACACACACACCCUCUGCUUGGCCCCAUGCAGUGGGUCUCCUCUGUACCCAGUAAACUGAAACAUGACUCUACUAACAUGGUAGCCAGGACACUGGGGACUCUGCUGUCGGAAUCCCUGAUCAUAGAGACAGCAGCUUUGGCCUUCGGCUCAAAGAGCUUCACAGAUGUCCCUUGUAGGCGAGUCCUGGCUCUGGCUCCUGGCCCACUGCAGAGCCUGGGAGUGAGGCAGGCAGAUAGGCGAGGGGGUCUCACCCAGGCCCAGGAACUCCAUUUUCUCUCAGCCCCAUUCCUCCCUCCCUCGGCUCCCUGACCGUGCUGAACGCAGCUCCCAAGCAGGGGGAGAGUCCAGAUAAUGGCAGAUGUUGAUUGUUUCCUGUUGGUUCACUGUGUCCUUUUGGCAGGCCUUUCUUUCUUUCAAAAUAUAUUCAGGUUUGAGCCUAGCACUGCAGCUUGCUGAGUGGGUCUAUGCUUCCAUAGAGCAGUGGCUUCGGGCACAGGCCUGAGACCCAGCCUGCCUGCGGGCUGCUAGCUGCCAGCUACCUCUGCACUAGGAAGGUUUUUAAACAGCUGAAUGCAAGCUUCAGCGUUAAUAGGUGAAAGUGAAAAUGACAUGUGACUUCUAGACAAUUCUCAUAGAUUCAAAAUAAUUGUUCUCUGUAAUGAGUAAAAUAACACUCUUGCAACAGCUGAAUGCUUUUCUCAUAUUCUGAGUUGCCCGAAUUAGGGGAAAUGGGUCUAAAUGGCUGCAAGAGGCAGUUUUGUCAGCUAGACGUCUUUUUACAAGUAUAUUGCAUCCUUCAGUCUCUUCCUGCCCCACCCUAAGACCCUCACCUGGGAAAUGGGAGGAUGGCUUGGAAGGCAAUUGUCAGGCCUCUGAGCCCAAGCUAAGCCAUCAUAUCCCCUGUGACCUGUACAUACACAUCCAGAUGGCCCGGUUCCUGCCUUAACUGAUGACAUUCCACCACAAAAGAAGUGAAAAUGGCCUGUUCCUGCCUUAACUGAUGACAUUACCUUGUGAAAUUCCUUCUCCUGGCUCAUCCUGGCUCAAAAGCUCCCCCGCUGAGCACCUUGUGACCCCCACCCCUGCCCGCCAGAAAACAACCCCUUUGACUGUAAUUUUCCUUUACCUACCCAAAUCCUAUAAAACAGCCCCACCCCUAUCUCCCUUCGCUGACUCUCUUUUCGGACUCAGCCCGCCUGCACCCAAGUGAAAUAAACAGCCUUGUUGCUCACACAAAGCCUGUUUGGUGGUCUCUUCACACGGACGUGCGUGAAAGCGAUGAAGCUGAGGUUGCAGGAAAGGAGUGAUCACCUGGCUCAGAGCUGGGCCCUAAAAGUCUAGGCCAGAGCCUCCCUGUUGUGAAAGGGAGUGGAAGGAGAAGGGGCUGGGAUGGGUCAAACUGGGUGGAAAGCUAGGCUCUGCUGUUUAGAAGCUGUAUGAUCUUGAGCAAGUUGCUUAACCCUUGCUAAGCCUCAGUUUCCCUUCCUGCAGAAAGGGAUUAUCAUGGGGACGAAAGGGGAUCCAGAACCUGGAGUGGAGGAUAGGGUGGGUAAGUGGAAGGUGUCAUGAGGACAACAUAUGCUGAGACACUCACCACCCUUUCUGAGGGCGCCUCAGCAGCAGGUCACAUGGUGCCUGAAACUCGUUUUUCUGAGUUGUGCUGGUUUGUGGAAUGAAAAGGGAAGCCAGGCUUCCUUCUUACUAGCUCUGACUGCCUUGUUUUAAGGAUCAUUCACCUUCCCUAAGGAUGGGAUAAAGCCUUCCUGUAGAGCAGACCGAUCUCCUUCUUUAUCCCUACAGUUCUCCCACCGUGGCCAUGGCCUUGGGGGCUGUUCUGACUCUUACAUUUAUAUAUCACUCCUACUUUCCCAGCCAGCAGGAUAGAAAACCUGAGAAGGGAAUUCUGCCUUAUAAACAUUUCUUACAGAUGGGGCAGACAGGUUGUUUCUUUUUUACCAAGGAAGCUCAGGGCAAUUCUGGUUGCAGGAAUGUUAAGCACUGAUAAAGAAGAGAAGAAAAAAUAUUCACCCUCCAGGGCCUGGAAUUUCCCCAUUCCUGAGCCCUGGCUUCCCUGUCUGAGAUAGAGACUGUCAGUCAGUCACCUACCAAUUCCCAAUUUCUCUUUCUGCUUUACUAAAAGUACUUGAUUUGGGAUGGGGGUGGGGGGUGGCAGGCAGCAAUACAUCCAAGUAAAAGACUGUACUUCCCAAAUCUCUUGAAACUAGGGACAGCCAAUGAGGUAUAAAUGAAAAUUAUUGGGGCUGGGGUCCCAAAAGCUUCUCUCUCUUUUUUGAGACAGAGUCUCAGUUUGUCAUCUAGGCUGGAGUGCAGCAGCAGGAUCACAGCUGUAAAAUCAAAAGUGUCAAAGACAGGUCUCAAUCAAUUUAGAAAGUUCAUUUUGCCAAAGUUAAGAGCACACCUUUAACCUCAGGUGAUCCUGACAGCAUGUACCCAAGGUGGUUGGUGCCCAACUUGGUUUUAUACAUUUUAGGGAGCAUAAGGCAUCAAUCAAUAUGUGUAAGAUGUACAUUGGUUUGGUCUGGAAAGGUGGGACAACUGAAAGGUGGGACUUCCAAGUCAUAGGUGGAUUCAAAGAUUUUCUGAUUGGCAAUUGGUUGAAAGAGUUAUUAUCGAUAGAAAAGAAUGUCUGGGUUAUGAUGAGGGGUUUUGAAGGGAGGAGGGUAGAAUGAGGCAUGUCUGACUCCCCCUUCCCAUCAUGGCCUGAACUAGUUUUUCAGGUUAACUUUGGAAUGCCCUUGGCUAAGAGGAAGGGUCCAUUCAGAUGGUUGGCGGGGGGGCCUUAGAAUUUUAUUGUUGGUUUACGUGGCUCAGUGCAGCCUUCACCUCCUGGGCUCAAGUGAUCCUUCCAUCUCAGCCUCUUGAGUAGCUGUGGCCACAGGUGCAUGCCACCAUGCCUGGCUAACUUUUUUUUUUGGUAGAUAUGGGGUCUUGCCAUGUUGCCCAGGCUGGUUUUGAAUUCCUAAGCUCAAGUUAUCCUCCUGUUACAGGAAAGGGGUCCUGAUCCAGAUCCCAAGAGAGAGUUCUUGGAUCUCACACAAGAAAGAAUUCGAGGUGAAUCCAUAGAGUAAAGUGAAAGCAAGUUUAUUAGGAAAGUAAAGAAAUAAAAGAAUGGCUACUCCAUAGGCACAGCAGCUUCCAGGGCUGCUGGCUGCCCAUUUUUAUGGUUAUUUCUUGAUUAUAUGCUAAUUAUUUAGUGUUUGCAAAAAUAGCCAGGCUAUAAGGGGUGGAUUAUUCAUGAGUUUUGUGGAAAAGGGGUGGGCAAUUCCCAGAGCUGAGGGUUCCUCCCAUUUUUAGACCAUAUAGGGUAACUGCCAGAUCUUACCAUGGCAUCUGUAAACUGCCAUGGUGCUGAUGAGAGUGUCUUUUAGCAUGCUAAGGCAUUAUAAUUAGCAUAUAAUGAGCAGUGAGGACAAUCAGAGAUCACUCUUAUCACUAUCUUGCUUUUGGGGGGUUUUAACCAGCUUCUUUACAGCAGCCUGUUUUAUCAGCAAGGUCUUUGUGACCUGUUUCUUGUGCUGACCUCCUAUGUCAUCCUGUGACUUAGAAUGCCUACCCUUCUAGGAAUGCAGCCUAGUAGUUCUCAGUCUUAUUUUACCCAGCCCCUACUCAAGAUGGAGUCCCUCUGGUUCAAAUGCCUCUGACACUCCCACCUCAGCCUCCCAUAGUGCUGGAAUUACAGGCUUGAGCCACUGCACCUGGCCUUAAAAGCUUCUUAAAGGGAUCUAAGAAAUUGACUCUCCCCACCCUCUUUCUUAACCGUAAAACACUAAUGUAAUGGCUGGAGUUCUAGCAACCAUAUUGGGCCAUGAGGCAACCUUGAAAAAGGAAGCCACAAACUAAAACAUU